GGGCGUAAGGGCUCGCAGGCGGUUUCUUAAGUCUGAUGUGAAAGCCCCCGGCUCAACCGGGGAGGGUCAUUGGAAACUGGGAAACUUGAGUGCAGAAGAGGAGAGUGGAAUUCCACGUGUAGCGGUGAAAUGCGUAGAGAUGUGGAGGAACACCAGUGGCGAAGGCGACUCUCUGGUCUGUAACUGACGCUGAGGAGCGAAAGCGUGGGGAGCGAACACGAUUAGAUACCCUGGUAGUCCACGCCGUAGACGAUGAGUGCU
rnacentral:rRNA from 1 species